UAGGGAAUCUUCCGCAAUGGACGCAUGUCUGACGGAGCAACGCCGCGUGAGUGAAGAAGGAUAUCGGUUCGUAAAACUCUGUUGUUAGAGAAGAACAUCGCAUAGAGUAACUGUUAUGCGUGUGACGGUAUCUAACCAGAAAGCCACGGCUAACUACGUGCCAGCAGCCGCGGUAAUACGUAGGUGGCAAGCGUUGUCCGGAUUUAUUGGGCGUAAAGCGAGCGCAGGCGGUCAAUUAAGUCUGAUGUGAAAGCCCCCUGCUCCACCGGGGAGGGUCAUUGGAAACUGGUUGAAUUGAGUGCAGAAGAGGAGAGCGGAAUUCCAUGUGUAGCGGUGACAUGCGUAGAUAUAUGGAGGAACACCAGUGGCGAAGGCGACUCUCUGGUCAGUAACUGACGCUGAGGCUCGAAAGCGUGGGUAGCAAACAGG
rnacentral:rRNA from 1 species